AGCUUUGCACGGUGGUUUUGUAACCAAUCAGGUUUUACCGAGGUGCGAGUAUUGCUAGUUGAAAAAGAAAUCGUAUUCAAUAGUGUAUCAUGUUUUCUACAAGCAACUGGGAACAGUUUUUUUUGAUAAUGGUUUAUAUUA